UACGAAGGGGGCUAGCGUUGUUCGGAAUCACUGGGCGUAAAGGGCGCGUAGGCGGCUUUAUAAGUCGGGGGUGGAAGCCUGUGGCUCAACCACAGAAUUGCCUUCGAUACUGUAGAGCUUGAGACCGGAAGAGGUAAGUGGAACUGCGAGUGUAGAGGUGAAAUUCGUAGAUAUUCGCAAGAACACCAGUGGCGAAGGCGGCUCACUGGCCCGGUACUGACGCUGAGGUGCGAAAGCGUGGGGAGCAAACAGG
rnacentral:rRNA from 1 species